rnacentral:rRNA from 1 species
UACGUAGGAUGCGAGCGUUGUCCGGAAUUAUUGGGCGUAAAGAGAACGUAGGCGGUUUGUUAAGUUUGGGCUUAAAGACUGGGGCUCAACCCCAGGAGUGGCUCGAAAACUGACAGACUGGAGGACGGCAGAGGAAAGUGGAAUUCCCAGUGUAGCGGUGAAAUGCGUAGAUAUUGGGAGGAACACCAGUGGCGAAAGCGACUUUCUGGGCCGUUCCUGACGCUGAGGUUCGAAAGCUCGGGGAGCAAACAGG